AGUGAACGCUGGCGGCAGGCCUAACACAUGCAAGUCGAGCGGCAGCACGGCAAUAGCAAUAUUGUGGGUGGCGAGCGGCGGACGGGUGAGGAAUGCAUCGGGAUCUACCCUGUCGUGGGGGACAACGUAGGGAAACGUUACGCUAAUACCGCAUGAUCUGGAGACAGCAAAGCCGGGGACCGUUCGGGCCGUGGCGCGAUGGGAGUGAGCCGAUGUCCGAUUAGCUAGUUGGCGGGGUAAAGGGCCCACCAAGGCGACGAUCGGUAGCUGGUCUGAGAGGAUGAUCAGCCACACUGGAACUGAGACACGGUCCAGACUCCUACGGGAGGCAGCAGUGGGGAAUAUUGGACAAUGGGCGCAAGCCUGAUCCAGCCAUGCCGCGUGAGUGAAGAAGGCCCUCGGGUUGUAAAGCUCUUUUGUUCGGAAAGAAAAGCACUGGGUUAAUACCCCGGUGUCCUGACGGUACCGGAAGAAUAAGCACCGGCUAACUUCGUGCC
rnacentral:rRNA from 1 species